CAGUAGCCGCGGUAAUACGUAGGGCGCAAGCGUUGUCCGGAAUUAUUGGGCGUAAAGAGCUCGUAGGCGGUCUGUCGCGUCUGGUGUGAAAUCCCGAGGCUCAACCUCGGGCUUGCAUCGGGUACGGGCAGACUAGAGUGCGGUAGGGGAGACUGGAAUUCCUGGUGUAGCGGUGGAAUGCGCAGAUAUCAGGAGGAACACCGAUGGCGAAGGCAGGUCUCUGGGCCGCAACUGACGCUGAGGAGCGAAAGCAUGGGGAGCGAACAGGAUUAGAGACCCCCGUAGUCCCUGUCUCUUAUAC
rnacentral:rRNA from 1 species